ACGUCCAGGUCCUCUGCAAGAACAGCAAAUGCUCUCAGGUGCUGAGCCAUCUCUCCAGCCCCUCUUUAGUGCUUUUUAUGAUCUAGAAUGUUAGUGCUGGAUCUUUGCUUAGGUGAUUUUCUAUAUUCAAAUUUGGAAUGACUUAAUCUUCUUCCUCUUCUGCAUGGGUCUGUGUUUAUGAGGUUCCCAUACUCUCAGUGCAUUCCGAUGAGGCUCCUCCUCAGCCACUGGGUGACCUUUAAUAACUUCUGGAUCUCCAGGCUGGCAGUCAUUUUUCUAGGUAGCUUCCCGCUGGAAGCAUGAGACUCACUGGAGCAUCGAGGGGCUGACUUGUUUGCCCCAGUGCUGUCUUGCUACCCUUCAAACCUCAUUCUGCAAUGGCCUGCCCCUGACUGUGGUGACCACCUAUGUUUCUAGGAUGCAGAGCUGGUUCAAAGGGCUGCUGUCUCCAACAGAGUUAGGCAAGGUUCUCCCAUGUUCUAAAUUCUAGAAAUUACUUUCUUGGAGAAUUCUUUUUUUUUCCCUUGUAUACAGUUUUAGUGUGGAAGCUUUGAGUACCUUAGAGUUAUCCUUAAAUGUCAGAUGAAGAAUAUAAAGGACAUGAACACAUACACACAAAGACACACACACACAGAGGAGAGAGAGAGAGAGAGAGAGAGAGAGAGAAUUGGUUUCCUUGACAACAGGCUAUCCACUCAACUUUUCUUUCCAACUUUAACUAAGUUCACACAAUUUAUCCUUUUCAUUUCCAGAAAACUUAAAUCACAGAGAAUGAUUUCAAAUGAGGUUGUAGAGAUCAAAAUUGCAGUAUCAUCUCUAUCCUUUGUUCCCUUCUCUGGUGAAAAGGGGGGCAGGAAUGAUGGUAUAAUUUCUUCACACAAAGCCAUCAACCUUUUCUCCUGUAGAAAGAAUGAUGGGUCAUAAGACGCUUCCUGCUGUGUCUAUGGUCUCUCCCGGUCUCCAUCACUGUGCGGGUGGGUAGAAAUGGCAUCUAUCUAAGCUCCUAUCUCACCUUAACUUUGGCGUAAUGGUCUCUCUGAUUCAGAGUGUCAAAGAGGGCCAUGGUCCAUGAACAACAAAGGCCCCCACCCUUCCCCCCAGGAAACAAUUUUGUUUAAAUUACGUUGAUUUUCAGGCUGCUUUCAUGACUAGGAAAUAGGCUAUCAUGAUUUUCUUCAAACUUGAAAAAUCAAAUAGGUUUGACUGCUCAUGGGACAAGGGAAACUCCACCCCAUGGAUGCCUAGCAGAGCAGCACUUUGCCGUACUGGAACAGCACAGCCCGCUUGUGGAGAGGAGUGUGCGCAGCGAGGAUCUCUCGACUGCUCUCAAAGUUCAGAAGAUGACUGUGAUUGGGUGUUAGGACCCUUACCUGCUUGUAGCUUGGUCAGAUCAGAGUUUGGGACUCCUAAUUGGAAGAGGCUCCUAAGCCCUUUCCCCUUCCUACUUCUGUUUCUGGGAAAGCAUUGUUGGUGAAGGAUUCUGCCUAGAGGGACAGAGAGUGUUAUCAUUUAUUCUCACUGCUGUAGCCAUCACAUUCACUAUCACUAUCACAUUCACUACCACAUUCACUACCCCUCUCACAUUCACAAUCACUCUCACAUUCACUUUCACAUUUACCAUCACAUUCACUAUUAUAGUCACUCUCACUAUUACAUUCAUUAUCACUGUUAUAUUCACUAUCACUAUCACAUUCACUAUCACUGAUAUCAAGUGUCUAAUAAUGUAUGUAGGUGGCUUUGCCAGGUCUGUGUAAACUGCAUCCUUCCUUGAAUCUGAGUAUAAAGCAGGUAGUCCAGUGUCCACACUGCUUAGCUUCUACCACUGAUGCUAGGUUGAUUCUGACCUGCCCAGCAGUACCAUUGGCCACAACAGAUGAAGAUGACAGGGGCCUGUGGUUUUGGAUAACCUUAAAGCAAUUGAUAAUUACCCAUAAUUUCUUUCAGUCUGGGGAUCAGCUCCAAGCUAUGUUAUCAUAUUCCAUUCUAAUAUCCUUAAGGCUGAUAUCAGCAUCAUCACUGAUGGUUAAAUAUAAGCAGGAUAGAAACUGUGCCCCAUCGGUUUGUGACAGACUCUAAAAUGCAGUAAAUCAGGACCCUUUAGCAUGCUGCGACUAUUACUUACAGAUACACAGGGUCUCCGUUCAGCCUGUUAGCAACAACCGCAGGCCUGCAUCAGGAUCCACUUUCCCUUGCCGCAUCUAUCUUCCAGCCACUCACUCCACAGCCCUGCAUUUUAACCUCGCUUUCACUACCUCUUGUCUCCACGUCACUUUAAUUUUGAUCCCCAGUACAAACAUUGCUCCCCCUUGUUGGAACGUGAGGCACCUGGCACCUAUGUACCUAUGUCCCUCUGUGAAGCCAGCUUUGUGGCACAACCUCCUGCGUUCCCAUUAAGACAUUAAAGUUGUAAAUAAGUAAACAUGACCACCACAUAAUUCAUAAGCACUAAGGGUGUGUGAAUACAUGCUUAGCCUGCACUGACUUCAUACCCUGAGCCAUGAAGGCAGCCUUUGUCUCCUGCUCUUCCUCGUGUGGAUAAUGUGUGAUGGGUAAGGCUUGCUCUCCCUUCCUGCUGUGUUCAUUAAUGGUCUUCGGGGCAACGUUCUCCUUCAAUACACUCCUUAUUAAAUGCUACAUUAUUUUUUAAAGGCUU